AUGAGCUUAAUAACAACACAAGCAUAUUUUUUUAUAGCUGAUGAACAUUUUCCUUUAAUGAACUGUCUCGUAGACAUCGGUUACCCUGAAUUUCAAGUUCCACCUCUACCAUCAAGAUUACAAUUUAUUAUCUUUGGUUAUGUAUGCUUGCUUGUGUUGCAUACAUCAGUUUCAAUUCCAAGGAGUGGUGGGGUUUUUCUUUUGGCAGCAAUUUCGACCGGGUUUGGUUCGUGGUUACGGACCUGUUGCAUUUAUAGUUUAGCUUGUUGUUGUACUUGUUGCAUUUAUUUUUCAUAUUUCAUAUGGAUGGAAUGGGGUCUGGUGUGA